rnacentral:lncRNA from 1 species
GCAGGUCCUGAAGAGACGCCAGCCAGGACACAUCCUUGUCACUGCACCAUGUGACCAGCUGUCACUUUGGAUUUUCUGAUCCUUGCAGAGUCGAAGGUGCUGAUGAAAACCGAGGGAUUGCGUCGGCCCUGCCAGGCCCCCAGCAGGAGUCCGGGAGCCCUGUGCCUCAAGAGCGCUGAGACCCAGCCGGGAUGCGCGGGCAGCCGGCACUCGCCCUGUGUCCGGAAGCUCGGCUGCAGCUGGUCAGUACGAGUCCCACCCCAGAUAACACUCCAAAGGGACAGAGUCACAGAAGACUUCUUCCGACACUGCACCUUCUGUCUCUGCCUCUCUGUCCUGUCUCUUUCCCUCUGUCUCUGUGUCUCUCUGUCCAUCCGUCUCUCUCUCUCUGUCUCUGUCUCUCUCCCUCUGUCUCUGCCUCUCUGUCCUCCUGUCUCUUUCCCCCGUCUCUGUCUCUCUCUGUCCGUCUGUCUCUCUGUCUUCGUCUCUCUCUGUCUGUCUCGAACUCCACCAGCUCCUGGACUGAGCCUAGGUCUCUCACUCUGGCCAGCAAGGCUGCAUCACCUGGUCCCGCGGUGCCAUGCUCGGUGCCACCAUCUGCUCCCGUCCGUGCAGCCAGCCACACCAUGGUCUCUGAAGCUCAAGUGCUGCCAUGGUUGCUCCAACAACACACUAGGAAAUGGUCCAGAGCACACUGGGAAUAGGGUCUAGCGUUGUGUUCCAGCUGCCACACUGUUCACAUCCCAUCUGUGGAAGAAUCUGUCCUGGAAGUUCCUGGUGGUGAGCCCGAGGUCCUGAGAGUAAGUCAACAUCAAACACUCUGUCCCACCCCCGUCACACAGCAACAUGUCCUGGAAAGGUGAGGGUUUAGUGCCUGCCCCUUCCCUUGGGGGGCCUUAUCACUUAUCACAUUCUUUGUCAUAUAUUGCAGCUUGAUUUUUAUUUCUAAAAAAUGUGGCCACUGGACAUUGGUCCUUCCAGGGUCAUGCAUCUGGGUCCCUUCUAGAAUAAUCUACUUGGGCAAAGAAGGAGGUCGGUCUGUCCCGAGAGGGGAAGCCAGGUGUGAGCUUGGAGGGGAGGUGGAGAAGAAAUGGGAUUUCCCUGAGGGAUGUCUUGUCCCCACCUUUUCUCUGAGUAUGAAAACCCUCUCCCUCCCCCCUGGACUCAAUCUCCUCUGGACCCUCAGGUGAAAUGACAGGACAGGUAUGGCAGGGGAGACAUAGAGAGACGAGAGUAAUUGGCCUUAUGGUUGAUUUCUGUCCUGUACAUCUUUUUCAUUGUAGAUCUUCAGUUCUAUGUGAUUUCUUUCUUGACCCUUCCCUGGUAUAGUUUCCUCUAUAGUCUUGCCCAUGAUUCUGCCAUUUUUAACCACUUAAAAGUUUUAAACUUCUGGGAGCUCCUGUCGUGGCGCAGUGGUUAACGAAUCCGACUAGGAACCAUGAGGUUGCGGGUUCGAUCCCUGCCCUUGCUCAGUGGGUUAAGGAUCCGGCGUUGCCAUGAGCUGUGGUGUAGGUUGCAGACGCGGCUCGGAUCCCAUGUUGCUGUGGCUCUGGUGUAGGCCGGUGGCUACCAGCUCCGAUUCGACCCCUAGCCUGGGAACCUCCAUAUGCCGCAGGAGCAGCCCAAGAAAUAGCUAAAAAAAAAAGACAAAAAAAAAAAAAAGUUUUAAACUUCUGUGUAUGUAAAUGCUUCAAAGUCCUAACAGUCUCUGUUAGGGGAUAUUACUAUUUAGCUAUCCACACAAUCAUUAUAAACACUUUUAUUCAGUAUAUUGUGUUUACACUAAACAAUGUGCCUUUAAGUUUAUAUGUUGUAUAAUCUGCUUUGUUCUAGUUUGUUAAAGAUGAAAACCCCAGUGCUUAGAAAUACAUAUAGUUCUUAUAUCACUGAGGUUCUUACGGUCAACAGUUAAGAAUUAGUUGCAUUGAUUCUUACAUGCUUGUAAAAUCUUUGCAUUUUUGUGGUCUGCAGGAAUCAUAUGAAAAACAAGCUCAGCUGAAUUUUGGAGGAGAAUACGCCAUUGGAGUUGUGAUGCACGUUAUUAAGGGCUCUAGCCCUAGGUUCUGACCACCUUCAGGAGACCUUGACUUUAUAUUUGCUUGACUGGGAAGCCAUUCAUCAUCCUGUGUCUCUAUUUUAUCAUCCCCAAAGAGUUUCUUGGAGUUCACUGAACUCCCUGGUAUGCACGAGUGGUUUUUUUUUUUGUUCUUGUUUGUUUUUUUAAAUAAAUUUGAGGUGUUUCAAUCA